CCUACGGGAGGCAGCAGUAGGGAAUGUUGCGCAAUGGGCGAAAGCCUGACGCAGCAACGCCGCGUGAAGGAGACGGACUUCGGGGGGUAAAGAUCUGUUAGUGGGGACGAAACUUGACGGUACCCACAGAGGAAGCACCGGCGAACUCCGUGCCAGCAGCCGCGGUAAUACGGGGGGUGCAAGCGUUGUCCGGAAUCAUUGGGCGUAAAGAGUUCGUAGGCGGCACGUAAAGUCUGGUGUUAAAGGCAGAGGCUCAACUUCUGUACGGCACUGGAUACUUGCGAGCUAGAAUGCGGUAGAGGUAAGAGGAAUUCCUGGUGUAGCGGUGAAAUGCUUAGAUAUCAGGAGGAACAUCGAUGGCGUAGGCGCUUUACUGGACCGUAAUUGACGCUGAGGAACGAAAGCCAGGGUAGCAAAUAGGAUUAGAUACCCGUGUAGUC
rnacentral:rRNA from 1 species